UACAAAGCCCGGUACCAUCUAUCCCUUGC
rnacentral:piRNA from 1 species